CGGCGGACGGGUGAGUAACACGUGGGUAACCUACCUAUAAGACUGGGACAACUUCGGGAAACCGGAGCUAAUACCGGAUAAGAUAUCGAACCGCAUGGUUCGAUAGUGAAAGANGGUUUUGCUAUCACUUAUAGAUGGACCCGCGCCGUAUUAGCUAGUUGGUGAGGUAACGGCUCACCAAGGCAACGAUACGUAGCCGACCUGAGAGGGUGAUCGGCCACACUGGAACUGAGACACGGUCCAGACUCCUACGGGAGGCAGCAGCA
rnacentral:rRNA from 1 species